GGCCAGGUAGCUCAGCUGGUACGAGCGUCCGCCUGAAAAGCGGAAGGUCGGCGGUUCGAUCCCGCCCCUGGCCACCU
rnacentral:tRNA from 1 species